UUUCCUACGGGAGGCAGCAGUGAGGAAUAUUGGGCAAUGGGCGCAAGCCUGACCCAGCAACGCCGCGUGAAGGAAGAAGGCUUUCGGGUUGUAAACUUCUUUUAAGAGGGAAGAGCAGAAGACGGUACCUCUUGAAUAAGCCACGGCUAACUACGUGCCAGCAGCCGCGGUAAUACGUAGGUGGCAAGCGUUGUCCGGAUUUACUGGGUGUAAAGGGUGCGUAGGCGGUCCGGAAAGUCAGCGGUAAAAGCCCGGGGCUCAACCCCGGCGAGCCGUUGAAACUGUCGGACUAGAGACGGCGAGAA
rnacentral:rRNA from 1 species